CCACGCAGUAUGAGAUGAUGCCUUUCAGCAUCGUCCAAUGACGCUGCUGCCCGAUAUAGUACCAGCGGGGAUUCGAACCGGCAACCUUCUGCUUGUUAGUCAAGCAUUUUUCCACUGCACCACUUAAGAAGGCAGAUAAGAGAAGGAUGGAGGCUUUCGAAAUGUGGUGUUGGAGGCGACUGUUGCGUAUCCCAUGGACAGCGAGAAUCACGAAUAAGGAAGUUUUAGAUCGAGUUAAACCAAUAAUAUCACUAGAAGCCAAGAUUACUAAACCAAGACUGACAUAUUUUGGUCAUGUCAUGCGAGCUGAUUCACUCGAAAAGACAAUUAUGCUGGGAAUGAUCAGUGGAAGAAGGAGACGGGGACGGCCUUGUACUCGGUGGCUGGAUAUUAUUAAAAAUGACACUGGAAUGACCAUGGUGGAAUUAAAGGAAGCUGUCCAAGAUAGGGCGGCAUGGAGUUCAUUGAUCCAUAGAGUGACUGAGAGUCGGACACCACUGAAUGGAUAAGAAGACGAAUUAUUGUGGUUUUUAACCUGACUUUUAACUUCUUGUUCAAUUUGGUUAAUUUUAUUACUUUUAUUGUGUCUUGUAUCUAUUUUAUUGUUAUGAAUCGCCCCGAGCAGUAGUGUACUGGAGGGGCAGGGUAUACAUAUUUCAAAUAAAUAAAUAAAGCUUA